GGGUAUAGCUCAGUGGUAGAGCGCAUGCUUAGCAUGCCCAAGAUCAUGGGUUCAAUCCCCAGUAACUCCA
rnacentral:tRNA from 1 species